rnacentral:lncRNA from 1 species
GCUGGAAGUGUGGAUGUCUGUAAACAAACCUGUCUGGUGAAGAGCAUCAGGUGUGCCUAGCACAUCCUGAUUCUUAACAUUUCUCUUUCCACAGUCAAGAUAACAGGAAUACAUCGUUAGGCUGAUUCCAACUCAGAUAUAUGAUGACAGAAAAGAGAAGGAAGUGUGGCAGAGGAGGAAAUUCACAGGUAGUCAGCAUCUGCUGAUGCCAGGCCCCUUGCGUUAUUCCCCAGCACAUCUUUUGAACUUCUGGCUCCAUCUCAGUGUCUGCUUCCUAGAGAACUCCAAUGGUGGUUCCAAGAGAACAACCAGGAAGAGCUUCCCAUGUCCCUGGCUGCUGCUCUUGAUGAGGGCUCCUGGAGCAGGUGGUGUAAAAUAAUUUCCUUGGCCCAGCUGCUGAAACACCUUCCAUAAAUGCUGAAAUGCCACCUCAGGUGUUUUAAUGUCUUCAUGUCUCAGCAACAGAAUUUCGAAAGGUUUUCAUUCUGCCUCUAAUUUCCAACUCUUCUCUGCUUCUAAGAAUGUAUUGGUGGAAAUAACAAUACAAAAUGAAUACAUGCUCAUUAGAAUAUUUGGAAAAUAUAGUAAAUAGGCAAAAAUAAGCAUCAGUAGUCCUACCACCCCAAACUACUGUUGCUAAUAUUAUGGCUUAUUACCAUCCUGUAUUUUUAUUAUGAAUAGCUUUUAAAAAUUCUGUUUCCUUUACAUGGUAGUAAUCAUGCUGUAUACACAAUUUUGUAUCCCUAUGUAUAAAAUCAUAAUGGUAAUACAGCAGAAGCUCUUUUCCAUGCU